rnacentral:lncRNA from 1 species
GUGAGGAAAAUGAGGCAAGAGAAAUUAAAUAACUUACCUAAGUUCACACAACUAGGAAGUAGCUGAGCUGGGAGUCAGCCCAGGAAAUGUGCUGAAGUCUGUGCUCUUAAUUAAGAUCUUGGCCACCCUCCAACCACUGCAAAGGUAGAAAGGAAGGCAGGGCAUGGUGGCUGACAUCUGUAAUCCCAGCCCUUUGGGAGGCCUAGGGAGGCAGAUUGCUUGAGCCCAGGGGUUCAAGAUCAGCCUGGGCAACAUAGUGAGACCCCGCCCCUCCAAAAAAAUUAAAAAAUUAGCCAGGCAUGGUGGCAUGAGCCUGUGGUCUCAGCUACUUGGGAGAUUGAGGUGGGAGGAUUGCUUGAGCCUAGGAGGUCGAAGCUGCAAUAAGCCAUGAUCAUGCCACGGCACUCCAUCCUGGGCAACAGAGCAAGACCCUGUCUCAAAAAAAGUAUAAAAGGAGUUCUAGGAGUUUUACAGAAACUAAACAAAAUUGUAGAAAGCUUUCGAUAUUAAUUUUUUAAUAUGCCAGCUCCUUUUGGAGAGUGCCAUGGACUAAAUUCAACAUCAGAGCUGAAAAAUCUACCAGCACCAUAAGCCUACGAUUGAGGACUCAGACACAGGAAGGACCUUAAAGCAUCUACAGUUAAGUGCCUUCUUUCACAUAAAAAGAAACCACCAUCCAGGCCAGCAGAGUGGCCUGGUCAAGGUUACGUCAUGGCUGAGAGCCAGCAGAGACUGGAACUCAGUGUCCCAAGUUUUUCCACUGCACCCAAAGGGGCUGGAGGUAGAGGAGACAGGAAGAAGGGUGCGGUGAGGGAGGAAGGAAGCAGCUGAGGUGAGGCUGUGCCUAGAGCCCAGUACAGGGUGCAGGCUGCGUGGCACGGGCCUGCCCACAGGCUGCAGCCCAUCUCAGGCCUCUUCUGAGAGGUGGCUCGGAAUUUGCAUGUUACCUUUCAGCCAUUUCACAUGACUCAUUUCCUUUUUCUCUCCUCCUGUGUCUUACACUACCUAUGCCCAGGACAAAGUGUUGAUGAGGCCUGACCCAUUAGUGCUUAAUUAAUGUUUUAAAAUUAACUAAUGUAUCUGUACAUGAGCUAAUGAUCAAAGGAGAAAUGGAGAGGAAAAAUAAUUCCCCAGAUCUUGCCUAGAUCUGCCAGGGAAGCGGGAAAAUAGCUUCAGUAGAAUCUUCUUGAAUCUUGCAAAAGAAAAAGACACUGUCUGUAGCAGUAACUUGAACUGUGCAAUGUUCGUACUGAUCUUUUUAAGAUUUGUCCACUUCAACAUUGAAGCUCCCAGCAUAUAAGUUGCAGUUGGUAACUUUCACCUUUUAAUGGCAUUUCAUCUUGUUGUCAACAGGGACGCAGUAAUGUGAAAACACUGAACGUGUGUCUCUUGCAAAAACAACUUUCCAUACACACAAAAACUUACUGUGCAAACAUGGCUUCUCCCUAAAUGGCCCUACACAUAGGCCAAGAAACAAAAAGCACAUUUUGCAAAAUAACCACCUCUCCCAAAACUGUUACCGCUUUUUGGGUGGUGCUAAAACUUGUAAGCAGGAGAAGGAGAAGUUUUUACUAUCCAAGGAUCAUCUUUUGCAUUUGCCUUAAGUUAAAUGACUUAAAGAGAAUACAAACACAUUUACUUUCAAAAAUAUACCUAGUUUUUGGCUUGAAUUUUAGAGUAUGCUGAAUAGGCAGUUAUUUACAUGGAUUUGAUUAGGAACACUAGGGCAACCCCAGAAAAAAAGUUAGUUUUCUUGGGGAUUCACUGAUGUCUGAACCUUAGCAUUUCGUUAGUGGCUUUGUUACUUCAGUGGAAGGAUUUUCCAUUUGUUCAAGAGUGAAGGCUCCUGGAAAGGAAGUUGCAUUUCACCAGGGUUGAUAAAGGCCUGUGGGUGCAGACAGGUCAUCAAGACAAGUGAGGAGAGCCAGGGUAAGGACAUUGCCAGCUUGAGCACAAUGGCAAAUGACAACUGAGUUUAGCCCCCAGGUCCGGCAGGCAGUAGGGAGUUGUGGAGGUGGGUCACGGAUGAGCAGCUGCCACACAGCUCCGGCCAAUUUCUCACCUCCUGGGAUGGAAGCCCAGAGUAGUCGCAUCUGCUUCUUUCAGAAGCAAUUGAAGUUCUGAGCCUAAUGUUGAUUUUCCCAGUUUUAAAGUAGCUGGGGGACUAUACAGAACAUAUUUUCUGGCCAUAUCUAGCGUGUGGGCCUCAGCUUCCAGUCUCUGUGAAACCCUCUCAGUUAUUGUUGUCUUUAAUGUAACCAAUGGGUAGGAUCAUUUUUCCCCCUUGGCACAGGGUCUUUCUCCAUCACCCAAGCUGGGGUGCAGUGGCAAAAUCAUGGCUCACUGCAGCCUUGACCUCCUGGGCUCAAGUGAGCCUCCCAUCUCAGCCUCCCAAGUAGCUGGGACCACAGGCAACCAGGCCCAGCUAAUUUUUUAUUAUGUUUUAUAGAGUCGGGGUCUCGCUGUGUUGCCCAGGCUGGUCUCAAACUCCUGGGCUCAAGUGAUCUGCCCACCUCAGCCUUCCAAAGUGCUGGGAUUACAGGCAUGAGCCACUGCACCUGUCCAGGUAGGAUCUUUAGAUCUAGUCUGAAUCCUAGACUUUCCAUUCAAUAUCUGUGUUACAUAUAAAUGAAUAUAUGGUAUAUACAGUUAUGUGUCAUUUAAUGACAGGGACACAUUCUGAGAAAUGCAUCAUUAGGUGAUUUCAUCAUUGUGUGAACAUCAUAGAGUGUGCUUACACAAACCUAGAUGGUAGAGCCUACUAUACACCCAGGCUCUAUGGUAUGGCCCAUUGCUCCUGGGCUACAAACCUGGAUGGCAAGUUACUAUACUGAAUACUGUAAGCAGUUGUAGCAUAAUGUUAAGUAUUUGUGUAUCUAAACAUAUCUAAAUGUAGAAAAAGUACAGGAAAAUUACAGUAUAAAGGAUAUAAAAUGGUAUAUCUGUAUAGGGCACUUAACAAAAAUGUACGCUUGUAUAGGGAAGGCCUGGAAGCUGCUCUGGGUGAGUCAGUGAGUGAGUGGUGAGUGAAUGUGAAGGCCUAGGACAUUAUUGUACACUACUAUAGACUUUAAAAACACUAUACACUGGCCGGGCAUGGUGGCUCACGCCUGUAAUCCCAGCACUUUGGGAGGCUAAGGCAGGAGGAAUACCUGAGGUCAGGAGUCCGAGACUAGCCUCGGCAACAUGGUGAAACCCCGUAUCUACCAAAAAUACAAAAAAUUAGCUCAGCAUGGUGGCACAUGCCUGUAGUUCCAGCUACUCAGGAGGCUGAGGCAGGAGAAUCUCUUGAGCCUGGAAGAAGGAGGUUGCAGUGAGCCGAGAUUGUGCCACUGCACUCCAGCCUGGGCAACAGAGCGAGACUCCAUCUCAAAAACAACAACAACAACAAAAAAAAACUAUACACUUAGGUUACACCAAAUUUAUAAAAACAAAACAUAAUUGCUCUAUGACAUUAUGAUGGUUAUGAUGUCAUUAGGCAAUAGGAAUUUUUCAGUUCCAUUAUAAUCUUUUGGGACCACCAUUGUAUAUGUGGUCCAUCCUUGGCUGAAAUGUCAUUGUGAGGUACACGACUGUACUUUAUGAAUAUAUGUGUUGCAUAUUAAUAUGUUAUACAUUAUAUGCUGUAUCCAUCAGCUAUUCAUAUUAUGGAAUUGUAGAAGCCCAGUUUUGCAUCUGUAAGAUAUUUUUAUUUCAUUUUAUGUUUUUGUUUAUCCCAACCACAAACUGAAUGCAUCUGUAAAAUAAAUAUGACCUCAGCCACCUUGCAGAGCUAUUGUGUUUGUGAAACGAAUUCUUUUCCAUUUGGAUUGAAUGCUCUAGGGGAGCUUCCUGAAACCUGGGUCCCUUUAGUUUUGAUAUUUCAUGAAAAAGCUUGUUUUUAAAGCCAGAGUAAGGCAGAUGGGAAUGGGAUUGGGAAUUGAUGAACAUGGAGAAAUUUUGGAGCAGCUACAGAAGGGAAUGCUGGAGAUUGGGCCUGUUUCCUUAUCUUCAGCUCUUGUCUCUGGUUUUCAUGACUGCGCUUUUGUGCAUCUUGAUGUAACGCCCCUCCUUUCCAGAAGUAUUCACUCUUUAAGAUGGAACAGAUGAUGAAUGGGAAACAGUGCUGGUGGCAGGGAGGGGCCAGGGCAGGAAGUGGCCCUGGUCAGCUCGGGUAGGUGGCACCCCCCAAUGUGCUUUGCAGCCUCGGGCGAGUGCAGUUGUCCUGCCUCCUGUGGUGUCUGCCUUAGCCCAGACCUGUUCAGACUCCGUAGAGAUCGCAUCAUGCUCGGUUUAACAAAAGCAGUUUGCAAUGUGUAAAACACAAUUAUAACUUUGUAAAAAGAAAAAUAGAUGUCUGUAGGAAUGAAAAACCUUCUGUGUGGAGUACCCCAAAACGUGGGUGGGAGGGAGCACAGUUUUUCCCAGAACGUAUGAGCUCCCCAGGCUGAUGUUCUUCUCAGUUUGGAUUUCCCACCCCACUCAGCAGCCUUGAGCUCUGCUGGGUCCCUUGUGAAAUCCUUUAUGCUCGUGCUAUGCUAUGCUAAGCCAGCCGGUUUUUGGUAUUUUAGAAGGAGACAGGAGAAAUGAGACUUUGCUGGGCUGUGCCCCACCUAGUUUUGUUUUUUGUUGUUGAGUUUUGUUUUUCGUCUGUCAACCAGGAUGGAGUGCAGUGGUGCCGUCACAGCUCACUGCAGCCUCAAACUCCUGGGCUCAAGCCAUCCUCCUGCCUCAGAUCUCGGGAAGGUGGGACUACAGGCAGGCACCACCACACUUGGCUAAUUGUUUUUUAUUUUUUGUAGAGAUGGGGGGGUGGGUCUCCCUAUGUUGCUCAUGCUGGUCUCAAACUCCUGGGCUCAAGCAAUCCUCCCACCUCAGCCUCCCAAAGCACUGAGAUUACAGAUGUGAGCCACCCGCCCACUCCUGGUUUUGAGGCUGCUGCCUCUUCCUUGUUUCCUCGGCAAUCUAUGCCUCCCUCUGGCCCUGCCAUGUAGAUGGAGCUGGAGGUCAGGUCCUAAGCCCGAGGCCCCUGUGCCCUCUUUCUCCAUGAGUGUACUCAUGCUGUCUACCCUGGCAUGCCUCCACUCCCACCCCUGCCCUCAUGCUACCAUCCCGAAUCACCGUCGCUUGCUGCAACUUUAUUUGAUUGUCCCACACUGUUGAGUGUGUAACAUAGAACUAGCCCAGAGUGGGCUGUCUCUCAGUAAAAGAGAAGUGUCUUUCCCUUUUGAAACCAAACUCAUCAUCUUUCUCCAAAAUACAUCUUCUCCCCCCAACUUCCCCAUUCCUUGUACAGCAUCCUUUUGCUCACACAUGACUGUGGCUCAAAUCUCAGACUCAGCCUUUGCUCCCUGCCUCUCUCUCCCCCUACCCCUGUGCACUUCUGACUCAGCUGCCAACUCCCAUCUGGCUGCCUGUUGUCAGCAGCCUUGAGUACAUGCAUCUUGUCUCAUUUCUCCUGUCUCCUCAUUAGCACUAAGCCUCAUGACCUCAGCUGUCUGGAAAGAAGACCAAGAUGUAAGCACACCUGAGCAGAUCCUUUUCCAAGUAUCCUGAUGUCUCCAAGGGCUGUUCAGAUUCCAAAGAGAACUAUCUACAAGUUAAUCUCUGUUACUGGAGUCAUUCAUUCUCCGUAGUAAUCUGCUCCACAGAAUUCCUCUUCUCUUCCCUCCCAUAACCUGUUUUACCAGGAUCCAAGCCUCCAUUCUUUCUGUAACCUCAUUGGGAAGUUGGUUCUUCAUUUGGAAGGCUCCCAUGUGUACAUGUUAAAUAAAUAUCUAUGCCUUUUCUUCUGUUAAUCAGUCUGCUUCAGUCAGUGAUUUUUAGUGAAACUUUAGGGG